rnacentral:rRNA from 1 species
UGCGUAGGCGGGCUUGUAAGUCAGUGGUGAAAUACUGCCGCUUAACGGUAGAACUGCCAUUGAUACUGCAAGUCUUGAAUAUGGUUGAGGUAGGCGGAAUGUGUCGUGUAGCGGUGAAAUGCAUAGAUAUGACACAGAACGCCGAUUGCGAAGGCAGCUUACUAAGCCAUUAUUGACGCUGAGGCACGAAAGCGUGGGGAGCGAACAGGAUUAGAUACCCUGGUAGUC